CUUGGCGACCAUAGCGUUUUGGACCCACCUGAUUCCAUCCCGAACUCAGAAGUGAAACGAAA
rnacentral:rRNA from 1 species